GGGAGGGGGAGGAGGAUGCACUGCAUUUGAGCCCCGAUCUGCAUCCACCACCCCCUCACGCGUACCCCCAGCCUGCCCCCCUCCAUUCUCACCACUGGGGCUGUGAGGAGAGUGGGGAUCCCUGCGUAACGCAUCCCCCCAAAUCUUGCAUCUCCUAAAAACCCAUUCUCCCCGGCUGCUUUUUAUUGCUAACCUCCACUUGCUUUGCCUCUCCUUCCCUCCCUCCCUCCCCUCCAUCUCCCUCCCUCCCUCUCUCUGGGGGGAAAAAAGGUCAUUGCGCAAAUGAUUAGUCAGAGCUCAGUUGCUGUAGCAACCGGCUGCUGGAACUGGGACAGGCGUGCAGCGAGGACAACGGAGAGGUCGACCAUCAGCGAGGGCUGGGGAGCCCAGCCUUUGUAUUUGCUUUCAAGAGCCGGGGAGCGAGGCGGUGCGAAGCCCCCUGCCCCACGCCACGCACGGGGCCGCUUCCCCGCAUCGACCCCGAGCUGCUUGGCUGCGGUUUGCAACCGGCUGGCAUCUCUUGCCUGCUCGGAGCCGCCGUUCCGAUGCCACCGCGGUACCGUCCCUCGUGGCCGUGCCUCUGCUCGGGGUGGCUUCCUCCCCCCGGUUGUGGGUUCAGGGCUCCGUGUCCUCUUGCGACAUCCUGCAUGGGAAACACAAAGCCAAGUUCCUCCUCAUCCGGCACGAGGAACCGGGCGUUCACCGCACCCUGCUUCUUCCCAGUUCCGGACUGCUAUGGCGUGUUUGCUUUUGGCCCCCGAGCAGCUGCAAGCAGAGACAUCUCCCGGUUCUUCUCCUGCCCCAAACUCGAGGACAGCAGCUCUAUGUGCAAUGCCCGCGAGCUGCUUGGCCUUGGAGGACAGGGAGAGGGCUCCCGUGGGGCAGGUCAGCCCAUGUGUGUGGUGAUUUUCACCAUAGGAUCAUUGAGGUUGGAAAAGACCUCUCAGAUCCCCGAGUCCAACCCCAACCCGCCCCACCACGGGGCCAUGCUUACUGCUGGGGCUCAUGGAGAAAGCACAGAGGAGGAGCCAGGUGUUGCAGCAGCCUAAAGUAGAUAGAAGUACAGCUGGGGAGUGGAUGGGACACCUCAACAGAGGCACUUUUGGUGGAGUUGCGUGGGCUUUGGAUGGGAUUUCAGGGAUGUCUUUGGCCUCCUGCUCAAGGUUUUCCCAAAGCCUGUUUUCUGGUUGCGUAGGGUUUGCUUGUUUGAGAGUCCUCACCGUAGGUUGGCAGAGAGGGAGACAUAAGGGUGUCCUAAAGGCUCGGGAGCCAACAGGGAAAUAAAAACAAGCCAACUGUUCUCCUUUCAUUUUCGCUUGCAAAUCUCAGUAUUUUAAAGGCUGUUCCCUGAUUUUUUCCAGAGUCUGGAAACCUUUAGGAGAUCUGAAUACUUGGAGUUGACUGCAUUCUUUCUGUGUGUUUUUCACCUUCAAUGCUAGCGCUGUAUUUUCCUUUAGAGAUGCUAAAUAAAAUGUGCAGCUCCGGUCCAGCUGACUAAUAUUUCAGGUUAUCAAAAAUGACAACGAAGGAAGGAAAGACCUCCAGGAGGGGGACAAAAAUCCAUGUGAGUCACUCAGACAAUCUGAGCCUGAAACCACAAAAUAGGGCCGCCCCAUUGCAAUGGGUUGGGAGAUCGUCACCAUCCUUUGGGCUAUGGGGCUGCCUGGUCCCCAGGCCGUCAGGGCUGCGUAUUUCUGCAGCUCCAUCCUUGCUCCCAGAGGACCCCCCGGGUACCUCAAUCUGUGUGGGUAGUGCUGGUGGUUCCUGGGUGGUUUGGGCACACUUUGGGGCUGGGAGGGAGCACUGAGGUCUUUUUUUUUCCCCACAAAUAACAUAUGAGAGACUUCAAUUGGGCAGUGCUAUCUGUGAUGGUUUGGAACACACUCACGGCUGUGUGACAGCUCGCUACUCGGAAGGGGCAGAGCCAGGGAUGUCCCAUCCAGGUGGGAUGCCCAGCUGAUGGGUCUGCUGCAGGCUGGGCGUUGAUGGUGCUCCAGGAGGGACCUGUGAGGAAAUCCACCACCAAACUACACAGAGCCCUGCCCUGUGUGAGUAGUUCAGUGCACUUAAAAGCUUCUGGCCGUUCAGUUCCUCUGUGCGAGAUGGCUUCUUUCUUGUGGGCAGGAGAGAAACCAGCCAGAGAGCAGCCAAGGGAGCGCCUGAUGCUGCUGGGUGCCAAUGGGGGGAGGCCUGGCUGCCUUUUGGCCAUCCCAGUGCUUCUGUUUGGCCCUCCUGACACGAGCCCUAAAAGCACAGAGACAAUCGGCUCAUGGUGAUGCGAGAGACAGCCCUGACACGACCCUGUGACAGUAGUAAGGAACAGAACAUCCACGUGGAACCGAGCCCCAAGCCGGCACGUGGGGGGAUGACGCAGCAAAGCGCUAAAGCAACACUUUGAGAACUGAGAAGGGCACGGUCUGAGCCUCCCCUCAACCCCACACCUCCCAACGCUGCCGUAAAAUCUGUGCUGAAAAAGGACCAGCAAAUACCAGGUUUGCCACGCGGAUGCACUGACGGGGUUGGGGCACUUGUGGCAGGGACAGCCCAGAGUGACAGCCCCGGGUGCUCCCAGCAAGGGCAGGAGUGCAAAACCCCGCAGUAAAUGGAAGGAGAAGGCGUUGCUUUGCUGCUGAGAGAGAAUUUAGGUGGCAGGGAUGAAACAGAGAAGCGCUGUGCAGGGAGCGGUGCUGGGGCUGGAGGGCUGUGGGAGGGAGGUAACAGGAUGGCCCCGGGUACCGCUUCCUCCUGGCGCCCCUCCAGCCGUCCCCGUCACCCCCCAGUCACAUCCUGCUUGCGCUGGCUCCUGCCUCAUCCUGCUGCCUGCAGUUUCUCAACCCCUUUCCCUCCUGCCAGCACUUUCUGGCUGCUGGGGUUGCUGCGGGGCAGCGGGGCCGGAGGCAGCUCUUGGAGCACCGGGAGAUUUAGGAUCGACAUGCUCCAUCCUCUCCUGUUUGAAAGCAGAACUGCCAUUUAAGGGAGGGUUUGGAGAGGAGACAUCUUCCUCUUUCCAAAUCCUUCUUGCCGGCGUAGCCCCUCAUCCCACAGACCCUGCAGCAUGGAGCAUCCCAGCACCUUUCCCUGGGUCCCUGCUUUGUCCCCAGUACCGUUUCCUCCUCCGCAGCCCCAUCUCCGGAGGGGCCACGUGCUGUGGGAAGGAUCCCAUCCUGCUCUGGGACGCUCCGUGCCCUGGCAGGGUGCAGCUGGGGCUGGCACUGCUCUGCGCUGGGCUGAGCUGUCCUGGCCUCCAAGUGCUUCUGCAACAGCCAGGAGAUCUCGAGGGGAGUUCUUAGUGGAGCAGGGAGAUGCUGCAGCACAGCAGCAAGCUGGAGCUGUGAGGAGGGGGGGAAUCUGCCACGGACUUUCUGGGGUAACCUUGGUCAAGGCAGCUUUCUCCCCGCGUGUUUUUUUUUUAACCUAAACACAACGCUGCCUUUGCUCGCUGUGCUGGUGCAGAGGCUGAUUCCCAGCACCCCGGAGGAGGGCUGCUGGCUGCUGCCACAGCACUGCACUGCAGCAGCUCUGAGCUCAGAGCUCCGUGCUCGGGGUCUCAGCCCCACUGCGGAGCUGCUGCCUCAGAGCUGGGACCGCUGGGACCCCCAUCCACACGCUGCAGGUCCCCGCUUUGCUCCAUCACCCAGUGCUGAGGCCUGGGGCGAGCGGCGGGCUGCGUCGCUUUGGGGUUUUGGCACACAGGGAAUGCAAGUGAGGGGGGGGGGAGGCACUCCCACGAUCCCCGCUGUUAGGGAGCACAGCACUCGGGCUGCCGCGUUUCGCCCCCAACAGAAGGCAGGGAACACGGGGAGGAGAUGGUUGCGCCCGCCUGGGGCUCAGGGAUGGGGCCGAUGGGCGCUGGCGUGGAGCGUCCCUCCUUCCCCAUCCCUCCUCCCCACGCACGGGGCAGCGCGGCCACGCACGGAGCCAACCAGGAGCGAUGCGAGGAGGGUCGCAGCUCAGCGGGGCAGCUCCGGACUCCCCGCUCUUCCCUCCAGACCACGCAACGGUUAAAUUCCUUUCCAGCUGAGCUGGCAAGCAGAGCCCGAGCAUAUUAGUCAGAUCCCUGUAGGGGGUGGGGAGGAGGAAGGAGCGAGCAGCGAGGAGGGGCCGCAGCCCAGCGCCGGGCUGAGCUAUUCUCCGGGGCGAGUGCGGGGAGGCAGCGCAGCAGGAGUUGCUGCUUCCCAGAAACUUGAUUAUUUUUAACCCAGGAAGAAAAAAAUAAAAAAUAAAAAAAAUAAAAAAGGAAGGAAGGAAAGCGGGGAGAUUAAAAAAAAAAAAAAAAAGAGUGGGGGUAAAUCUAAAGGAACUGGAAAACAUGAGGUUGGCGUCAGCACGCAGCUUUGCGGAGGGGGAGAAGGGGCGGAGAGGUUCGGGCUGCCCUGGGAUAGGGAUGGGGCACGGAGCGGUGCCAACCCCAGCGGAGCUGCCCUGUGGGGUGGAGGAGACAGCAAGGUCUUCUUUCUCGCGUUGCUUAACCACGUGUAGAUGGGAGCCUGGCACUGGGCAGAGUGCAGAGGCAUCUUGGUGGUGUUCCCACUGCAUGACACUGUUGUGUUGGGUCUGAGAUGCAGAGCCCCGCAGCGGUUGUUUCAAAGCCCCACGGCUGGAAGAGCACUGGGGGUCUUCUGCCCCACGCCCGGAGCUGCACUGAGGGCACUGGCACUGCAGUGCGGAUGGGACACUGUGCACAAAGUCCCCAGUGAAGGUCCAACCCUUUCUGACCCAAACCCUCCCCAUGUAUUUGUAUGACUGCAGCAGCUGCGCUUGGUUGGAAACUCAAUGUCUUCCAUGGCUGUAACACCAGCCCAAAGCAUUACAAGCCAUGGGCCCUUCCAGGAAAUAUCUGGCAAUCCCACACUGUGCUGCUCAGGGUGGUGCUGGGACCCCUGAGCUGCUGUUCCCAGCCCCCAAACUGAGCUCCAUGGGGAACACCACGUGAUGAAAUGUCCUAUAUCCACAGACCCCAUGUGGAAACAGGCCACGGCUCUCCCUGGGGAGGUUCUUCCAUGUUGGACCUCUGUUGGACCUCUGCUGUCAUCAGUUCUGCUCUGCUGCUGUGCCCAGAUCCUGGAUGGGGCUGGUGAUGUCCACAUGAUGGCAUCAGAACCAUCAUCUCAAAGGAGAAGAAGCCCUUAGCUUUGCAGUCACAGCCAGGCCAGGUCAGAAAACGUAUUCCAUUCCACAAAGGCAGAGAGGUGACAAUGGCAAUCAGUUCAGCCUAGCCAGACCGGGUUUGGAACAGGCAGCAGGCACCCCUCGAAGUGCAGAGGAAACAAAACUCUUGACAAAGGCACUGCUGCUCUGCUGGCUCCAUGUGGGGCUGCUGAGGGUCUUUGUGCUGGUUUGGUUCCUUGGGCAAUGUCACCCCAUCGUGUCCCAGCGCACCGCAGCCUCCCUGCCACCAGCAGGCUCAGCAGUGCGUGCCCCAUCCCUGGAGCUGCUCGAGGCCAGGCUGGACGUGGCUCUGGGCAACGUGAUCUGAUGGUUGGCGACCAGCCCACAGCACGGGGGUUGGAACUGGAUGAUCUUUGAGGUCCCUUCCAACCGAACCAUUGUGCGACUCGAUGAAAACAUGUGGCUGACUGGGUGCAAAAGCGCCAAGCCUUCCUCCUCCCCUCUUCCUCUCCCAAACCCCAAGGGUCUGCAGUGGAGAGCUCCCCCACAUUGGCACACCCAGGGGCCCUGGGGACGGGCCAGGAACUGCUUCCACCCCACGGCUGCAGCAGGAUGGGGCUCGCAGCAUCACCCGCCCCACUGCACGCCCACAGGGCUGGGAUUUGCCAGGGGGUGUUGGAUGGCAGAGGGCCCUCCGAAGAGCCCCUCGUGCUGCAGGCAGCCUAGCGCACUGCUCGCAGGGUAUUUUUUUCUUCCUCGCUCUUUGUUAAGCUCCCUUUCAGCUGAAAUGGCAAUGCCUGGGUGUUCUGAGCUGACAAUAAUUGCUGCAGUCUAGACACUGUCUGGUAUGAGGCACGGGGAAUCAAAGAGGCCCCUUCUCUCGCAGCGACUUUCACACAUGCUCCCUUGCUUGGGCUCCUUCCUUCUCCCUCUCCCAUGUUCCCUCGGUCUUUGCCUUUUUUUUUUUCCUUUCUUUCUUUCUUUCUUUUUUUUUUUUUUUAAUUUUUUUAUUGCUCCCCUCUAUCUGCAUGGCACAGAGAUGGAGGAGAAGCGUCAGCAUCUUCCCCCACGCGCGCUCCCUCUCCGCCGUCUGUUCCAUGCUCCCCCUCUCCCUCUCUCUCUCCCUUUCUCAUCUGUCUCCUCUCUCUCUCCUUCCUCCACUCUUACCUUUAUGCUAUUCCCUUCCUCCCAAAGUUAGCAGAGAAGGGAGAGGGUGGGGGCUGGCUCUGCCGGAGUUUAACUCCUUCCUUACCCUCUUGAAGCUCUCCCCUUCCUGCUGAGCCCUUCCUGGCUGUGGGAUCCCCUACCCACCCCAUCCCUGGUCCUACAGGAGGUGCCUGGUGAGGCUGUGCUGGAUUCAGAUGCAGUCUCAUGCCCUGAUACCAUGGGCAUGGAAUCAUCCCUUCUUGCACCAUUCCUUGGCCAACAUCAUGGCCAAUGGGAAGGGCUGUCCAUUGGGGACCCAUAGGAAGGGGCGACCAUUGGGGACCCAUAGGAAGGGGUGUCCAUUGGGGGCCCAUGGAAGUCCCCCACGUCUCAGCAUUGCAGUGGUGCAGAGCUGGGCAGGUGCUGCAGCUCCUCCAUCACCUCCGUGCCCAACAAGAAGGCAGCCAAUGUGGGAGAGCACCUCACUGCCACACCUCCGCUGGUGGGCACACGCAGCACUCAGGAGCAGCAGCUGCUCCCCAACCUCCAAACGCUGCUCAAAUAUUUGCUGGGGUGCAGAUGUGUCCCAGCUGCAGGGAACCCAUCGUUGCCUCUUUGGGUACUUGAGUUGCCACAGCAAAGCAACGGCAGGUCUCCAGGCAUGCACCCACACUGCUUUAGGUGCUGCCUCAGUCUGUGUGUUGCUGGCGCUUCAGUGGGAUGCCGUGUUGCAGUUCCAAUCAUGCCCAGGACUUAUUGUGCUCUAAUGCUAUUAACAGAUCGUUUCUUGCUCACUUCUGGACUCCUCUUCAUCUCUGCUCCCUGCGCAAAAAGUCACUUUUUCUGCAGAGCCCAACUAAGUAGUGCUGAAUUCUCAUCCGUGCGUUUUCAUUGCUGUCAAAUGCUUUCACCGGAGGGGAAACUGAGGCAAAGCACAGGGCAGCCAUCUGCCAGCCUGCAGGUCCCCUCCGUGGGACACGGAGCUGCUCUGCAGCCCUAUUUGCACUGCCCGGCAUCUCAGUGGCGGCGGUGCUGCUCGCCUACCACGGCAAAGUCACAUUAGGAAAGUAUGCGAUGUAUUUUUAACUGUCCAUAAUGCAAUUUAGCAGCUGGAAACGAGGACGAAAGCCAACCCCGUGCGACCAGCCAGAUCUCUGCUGUCCGUGAGCGAGCGCUCGGUGCACGCGGUGUUACUCUGUCGGGUUGGGGACCUCGUUUGGGAGAAGGGCAGGGGAGGGCUGCGUCCUCAAAGCGGGUUCUGUCUCGAGCCAAGGGGUGAUGGAGCUUGGGGACCUCGCUGGGGCAAAGCAGUGCUGGUGGUGUGACAGCAGGAGAGGAGACAGCCCCAGGGGAGGGAAACAACUGCUGGAGGUCAGCGGCAGAGCCAGGAAUAAAAUCCAGGUGUGCUGAGCUGGCGCUGGGUUUGUAUUCCCGCACAUGAGUGCGUGCAACUGCUGUCCCCAGGUGCAGAGAGAGCUUCCCAAAGCCAACAGUGCGCUCCGGAGCCCCACUGCAAGCUGUGGGGCAGCAAAUGUGCAGGAUGUGGGGGGAGAGAUUUGGGGUCUCUGUUCCCUGGAGCAUCCCACACAGCGUGGCUGGGUCUGGGCCCCGCUGGAAGGAUGCUGAUAAGGCAGGGAGGUUAAAAACACUGCCUUUAUUUUGAAGCUUAUCUCCAAAUCCUAAUGAAAACAGACGAAGAGGGAAGGCAGGGACAUCGGAGAUGCAGUGGGGCUGAGGCUGGGCGGUGCUGUGCAGCAGAACGCGGCUGGGUUGGGAGUCCAGUUGGAUCCAGCAUGAGAUGCAACACAGGGGGAGUGUGAGAUUACAGGAAAGCUUUGGGGCAAACCCGAGGAGCCGGGGCACAACUCUUGGGUCCCACACAUGGGGAGAGAAAAGCUGGGGGGGGCUGCAGUCCCUCUUCCUGCCCCACCAACACCCUGAAACUCAGAAUCCGCUCUUAGUAAGGGGCUCAGUGAGGAAGAAAAACCUUGAAACCAAGGAAACAAGGGAAGCAAAAGGGGGGAAAAAUUCCUCUGCAAGGGGCAAUGAAGGAGGGAACGGGAACAUUUGGUGGGCUGGGAUGUCUGCUCGGCCGAGAUGUCCCAUCUCAGAGUGGCAUCAGCUGCAGCCUGGGGCAGUGCUGUAGGAGAGCGUUGGGGGUAGGAGGUGGGAGGGAGGGGCUGAGCAGAGGGCUGUGGGGAAGGUGUGGGGCGCGGAGCAGAUGCGGUGGGCUCAGUGAGGAGUGCGGCUUUGCAGACACGAAAUAACUUUCCCCUUCCUAAAGUGAUGGGGUACUGAGGGUGGGAGAAGCUCGGGGUGAGAAGCACGUGUGUGUGUGUGUGUGUGUGUGUGUGUGUGGCCAAACGCACACAUCGCAGCGCUUCGACUCCAAGGCUGUACCGAAGGAGACCCUCCCGUGCCACAUGUGGGUCGUUCCUCUCCAACCACCCCAUCGUUCCCCGCAGAGGGGCAGCGACACGCGCCCUCCAUCGCCGCCGUGUGCCGCGGGGCAGCGUUCGGGUGACCCACCGCAAACUAUGGCGAGGGAGGGAGGGGGGCACAACCCCAUCCGUCCCCAUUCACAGCUGCGCACCCCCAUCCCUCUCCCGUCCCGUAGCGCGGUGCCCGGCCCGGCUCGCUGCUGGGGGACCGUAACGUGAUAUUUCCCCGCGCGUCCCCCGGAGGGUUUUUUCCAUUACACGGAACGGAGCUGCCUGCUCGCCCGGCUCCCCCGCCUGCAACCUCUGGCACCGCUUUUCCAGCGGCACAUUGUGCAAAUGUAACCUUUCAGCAAAGCCACUCCUACGGCAGGAAGCCGUGGGGCCUCGGCUGCUGCCAGGAACGCAGCCGGCUCGGAGCUGGAAGGCAGCCCGUUAAUCAGAGCCGGCUGACAGCAAAGCACACAUCCUGGGCAACAGAUUUCUGCUCCCGCUCCCUCGCGCUCAGCCUCGCCUCGCCGUGCCUGCAUCGCUCCUGCUCGGCUGCUUUCUGCCAGCCCUUCUGCCUCCCCCUCCUCUUCGUCCUCCUCCUCCUCCUCCUCUUCCUCCUCCUGGGGUGUCCAGCAGGGUUUGCUCUUUGCAGGGGGGCUGCGCAUGGGGACAGGUGCCAGCCUGGGGGUCCUGCUGAGGAUGGGGGGGUGUUCGGUGGGGCCGUCCCCCGUGCUCGCAGCACCCACAGGACCUCCUGCAGACAGUGCUUGCAUCCGCCCCACAGCGCUGUACCCAUCGCCAUAUGGCAGCGCUGUGCUCAGGGUGCUGUCCUGGCUGAUGGAAACCCAUCGUGGCUAUGGGGUGUGAGGCCGUGGGGUGUGGGGUUAUUCCAGACCCCCCGGCCCUCCCCAGGCCCUGGGGACACCCAGUCCUGUGCUGCAGCCAACUUUGGGGAAGUGCCUUUGCCCGCCUGCAGCCCAUCAUCCCAACCAAACGGGAGCUUUUGUCUGAGCUCAGACAGCACGGCAGGGCUCUGCUUGGCUCCUACCCGAGCUUUCUCCAGGUACAUCUGCACUCGUGCCCAGGUGAAGCCCCGCCAUCGCUGUCCCCACGCAAUGGGCUCUGUAUCUUUUGCGUCUCGUUUCAUCCAGGACUUGAAACACGAAAGUGCUGCAUUGUGGUGUCUGUUUUUGUGGUGUUUCCAGCCCAGCUGGAAGCAGGAGGCACUAAAAAAUGGAGAGAUGGGGGGGGAGGGGGAGAAGGAGAAAGAAAAAAUCAAUCUGGCAGUAGUCCAUCUUCCUUCCAAACCCACCGGACCCGGGAUGCUCCCACCUUGCUCAUCCCAGCCCAUCCCCGAUGGCUUUGGGGAUGCUGCACAAAGCAUGGCCCCUCUGCUGGCGUCGAGGCCGGGCUGGUAAAGCCAUCCCUGCAUUUAUUUCACCUUUUCCUCUGGUUGCGAAUUGUCCGGGAGCAGAUGGCGAUUUUCUCAAGUGUAUCCGUUAUUCGAAGUCGCUCACCGAGACAGGGAUGGCUCACACAAACCCGGCCCCCCUGCAAAGCCAUCAUUUGGUCUUUCCAUCUGCCCAGCCACUGUGUUCGGUGUGGGUUUCAGCCAGCUCCGUGGGGCAGAGCGGGACGGCACGGCCCUACACGGUCAUCCCCUUAACUACGGGACAUGGAGCCGUGACGGCCAGGGCAGCUUGGGGGUGGAAAGCAAUCCCUGGAGCUGGGGGGACCCUCUCCUUAUGAGCCCCUGAAUGGGCUCCCAGGCCCAUCUGCUGCCACAUUCUGGCUGCGUUUUUCCAUUUUCCCUUCUCAGUCCUCUCCUUCUCCCCUCUGCGAAAGCAGCCAUGGGGCCGGGAGCUGCCUUGCAGGGAUGGGGCAGCGCUCUGUAACCGGAGCCCAUCGGGACCCCCUGCGCAGCCCCACGCCAGGAAUGUUGCGCCGAGGGGGGCUGCCAAGGGCUGACAAAAGGGGAACCGCUUUGAAAUGCAGCUUGCUCUUCCCCCCCCCCCCCCUCCGUGUGUUAAACAAAUACCCCCCGGCUCAGGGGGUGCCUCCCUGCAUCCCACAGCCUUUUGUUGCCAAGUCUUUGUCUGGGGUGUAGAGAGAGGGGUGGGACCCCCCCAAGCCUCCCCCAGGACACCCAUGUGGAUGGGGUCUGGGAUGCUGAGCGUGGGGCUGAGAGUGGCUCAGUGCCCCAUCACAGGGCCUGGGGACACCCCCUGAGCCCCGCUGCCCGCUGUCCCUCCUGUCCCUGUGUCCCAUCCCCAUGGCAUCUCACCAUAGGCGCAGCCGUUGGGUCUCCACGUGGGAACUGCCAUCAGACUGUGCCAUUCCCGCAUGCCAAUCCACAUCCAGCAUCCAGCCCCCAUAUGGGGGGGUCCAAACCCAAAGCUUGGGGGUGUUGCGGAGCCCACUGUCCCCAGAGGACAUUAAGGGACCAAAUCCCAUUAAGGGACUUGUUAUUUUGCAUCCCCAAAGGCACUUCACGCAGUUUCCUUUCGGGGAAAAUAGUUGGGGGAAAAGCCUUUGAGAGGGGGGUUGAACAACCCCAAAAUGCCCAAGGAAAUGGCAGCGCUGUCCUCCAGCCAUCAACACCAUUGUGCCGUGCAAAAGAACCUCCUGAAUUAACCACAGGAAAGGUGAAACUCAAAAUGAACCCCUUGGAAACCAAACCCAGGCUGCUCCGACCCCCCCCUAGGCACGAAGACCACAGAAGCCCCCAACUGCUGCCCACAUCCCUCCGUGGUGCCCCAAAGGUGGGAGAUGCCCUGGGACACCCCAACCAGUGCCAGCGGGGCCGCAGUGGGAAGGCUGGGUUGGGGAUGGGCAGAACCCGUUCAUCCCACUGCUUUUGGGGGUGGGUGCGUGGGGGGAACCCCGGGGGGGCGCUCAGCCCUCCUCUGUCCACGGGAAGGCCACGGGUGAGCGCGGUGCUGUGCUGUGUCCCCGGGGAGCAGCGGCCCCGCAGCCCCGCGCCGCGCUCGUCACCCAGACAAGAGAUCAAUAACUAAUUUCACUGCAGCAGCAGCACGGGUUUUUUUUCCAAUAAUUGUGAGCCGGCGGUUGGGAAUGAGGCUCUCAGCACCGCUCCACACCAACCUGCGCCCGAUCAAUCGCCGCGCCGCUGGGGCAGCAGGAAAACUCAUUUUUCUCUUUUUCUUUCCUCUCAGCCUCCUCCUCCUCCUCCUCGUCCCAUCGCUCCCUCUUUGGGCACAGCGAUUCCGGCUCCGUCCCCUCACCUGAGGGCUGUGCUGAGCGUCCCCACCUGCAGUGGCUGCUCGUCCCAUCCCGGUGCUGCCAUCCCAUCUCCUGCAGGACAGACCCUGUGCCAAGCGUAGGGCGCAGCAUCUGUCCUCAUCCAGGAGCACUGUGGAGCCGUGGCUACGGAGCCGUGCCUUUCGGUCACCAGCUGGUGCCUUUGUGUUGCCCAUACGUGUUCAGUGAUGCAGGAGGAGAUCUUUGGGAUGCUGUGGGGUUGGUCUGAUGUCGGGCAUGAGCCUCGCUGGGUUCCUCCCUCGUUAUCCAUCUCUUUAAGCAUCUGAGACCCUCAGUGCCUCAGUUUCCCCACACGUGUCUGUAACAGUGGGCACAGCUCCCUGAGCCGCCCAUAGGCUCUGUGCUCCAGUCCCCAUCUCACAGGACACAGUGCUGGGCCACGAUGCCAAUCUCUGCAGUCCCAACCUCCACACACCCAGAAGGCAUUGAGGAGCACUGCGGCAUCCCCCACCUGUGUGCCUUGUCCCAGCUUGGGGUCAGUGCCAGUGGGUGCUCUGAGCCCACCCUGAGCCCCAUCCCUGUGCUGGUGGGGCAUUUCCACGUCCUUCUGGUGAACCAGCUCAUGACUCCCAUGGUUAAUGUUUGCCUUAACCCCUCUUUCCACACAUUGAUUUGUAUUUGCAUCAUGCCCUGGCCACGGUGCUCAGGAACGCAGGGUGCUUGCAGGGCUCCCCCCACGAGCAGCAGUGUCCCCCAGCCAUGGCUAAGGUCAUUCUUCAUGGGUUUCCCAGCAGCACUGGGGCCUCCAUCCUUUCUCUCCCAUUUAAUCCCAUGAAUUAAACACCGCCUUCACCGCGGAGCGCCGAGCGGUGCCGGCGUAAUGUCCAAGUUUUACGACUUGCCUUGAAGGCACCUAUCGAUUGGGGUCCUCUCUGGAUGAUGGAGCUUUUAGUGCAUCCUGGGCUGUCCGAGCAGGGCUGGAUCCUCAGCCCACGGGGCUCAGCCGCGCCGUGCCGUCACGUCCCCGUGCCCCAUCUCCAUGGGUCCCAUGGGGAGGCGGCAGGCGGGGCCCUCAGUGCCCACACGGCGCCUUUAAGAAGCCCACAACCAGCUCCAGGAACACGAGCUCAAGGUCACAGUGGGAAACCUGCGGACUUGGCAGCGAGGAGAGGAGAGGAGAGCGGGCGGAGGGGAGGAGGAGGGAGGAGGGAAGCAGCUGGGGAUAAAACCCAAAUUCUGGCGGGGAAGAGGGGACGGAGGGGAGCGGGGAGGUGAGGUGCAGGGGGGUCCCACCCAGGGGUGCCCAACUGUGGCACCUUGAGGCCCUGUGCCGCAUCCCCCGGCGCGGCACCCGGACGCCCUCUGGGAGGUUUGGGGUUACCGAAGGCACCGGGAAUGAGGCGGCUGCUCCUGGUCUGGGUUUGGAGAUGCCCGUUUUUAAUUUUCAUCAGCAGAAUUAAUCUGCGGAGCUGCUCCCCCCCCCCCCCCUCCUCCUCCCCUCCCCUUCCUUUCCUCACUGGUUUCGACGGAGAAUUUGAUCACUUCUCCCAGGAGCUCGGCACCAUUAACAUUCACUCCUGGCGCGCACGAGCCGCGCUGCAUCGCCAAGCGCAUCGCCAGCUGUGGGCUGUGGGCUGUGGGCACCUCGACCCCCAUCAGCAGCCCCAGCCCUUGGCCUGGCACCAUCCUCACCCCCACCGAGCCGGGGAGGGGCUGCUUUAUUUCUGUGUCCGCUCUCCCGUAGGAAAAUGAAGGGCACAGCAUAGGAUCAGUGGGUGCUGCCCUUCUCCUGCUUCCAGCCAGCCUUGGGCUCGGAUCUGGAGGUGUCCGGAGGGUCGUGGCCUCAGGGUUUGCUCUGCAGCUGCUGGGACACCUGGGGCUGUCCAAUAGGAUGGAAACCAGAAAGCACUCCGGGGGUAGGAUCCAAAUCUUGCACCAUUUCACAUUUUAAGGGAUGCCAAGUGGUCACCCUGGGCUGCCCCAGAGUUGCAUAAAGUUGUGGACUUUUUUUUUCUUUAAUAAAGGUUAAUAAAGAAUUAACUCCUUAUUGCUGUUAUUAUUACUCCAUCACUGUCACUAUCACUAUUACCAUUACCAUUGCUAUUACUAUUGCCAUUGCUGCUAUUGCUGUUGUUGCUGCUAUUGCUAUAACUAUUGCUAUUUCUAUUGCUACUAUUCCCAUUUCCAUUUCUAUUCCCAUUCCUGUUCUCAUUCCUCUUCCUCUUCCCAUUCCUCUUCCUCUUCCCAUUCCCAUUCUCAUUCCUGUUCCCAUCCGUAUUCCCAUUCCCAUUCCUAUUCCAAUUCCUAUUCCAAACUGCUGCCCCUUGCAUGACAUACAGUUUCCCUGACACCAGCACAGUCCCAGCUGGGACGAUGCCCUCUGGCCCCGAGGUGCCCCCUGUGCUGCAGCAGCAGCAGGAGCUCCAUCAUCCCCUCCACCAGUGUGGGGCUGCAUCCUCCCCAUGUACAAAUGAAGCCCGUUUUUCUCCUUUCUGGCUAUGGCCCCACGCACUGAGCCCAGCCAUGCUGCUCCUCGAGGGCACGGAGCCAUUCACCGAAGCGAGAAGCCGAACGCCUUCUUUUUAGCCUCGCUUUAACAAGUAUUAAUUAACAAGAGAGUAAACACUAAUCCCGAAAUGACACAAACUGUGUCGCUUGAAACGAAUGUUUGGGAGCUGUCUGUGCUGGGAUUUACAGCUGCAUGGGUUAAUGGGUGCUAAAUCAUUGCUCAGGCUGCAAGGAGAAGCCGAGCUGGAGAGGGGCUGGGUGUGCUGCUCAGCCUGGCAUCGGCUGCACGGGGUGCUGGGGCUGUGCUGGGCUGUGCCAUGCCAUGACCUCCUCUGGUAGGAGGUGUGGAUCCGCUCAAUGCUUGGAGCAAUGGUGCCCCCACCCAGCAAUGGCUUUAACCAUAGAGCGCUGCAAGAGCGACCAGAGAGUCACCCUUGCCUACAGCCAACCUCCAACCCUUGUGGGCUCAGGGAAGGCUGGGGGCUGAAGGCAGGGACUCAGCGUCUUGAGAGGGGCCCGGAGAGGCAGGCACUCAGCAGAGAUCCAGGCCGGGUUUUCUUCCUUCUUCCUCCUCUAUCGUGCAGACUGGGGAGCUGCUGCCUGUGCACAUGCUGCUCCAGUCAGUCCUGCUCCAGGCUGAGCUGCACAGCCAGCGUGAGCCGGCGCUGGGAACUGGGAAACAGCUUCAUGUGCACACUGCAUCCUCCCUGUGCACACAUUGCAUCCUCCCCAACAUGCUCACUGCACAUUGACUGGGGCAGGACCACAACAACGCAUGGUCCUCCAUUCCCCCCAUGCCGGGAGGGCUCCCCUUCAUCCCAUGUGCUCAGCCCCAUUUCAGGAGGGCUGGGGAGGGCUGUGGGGGCUGCAGGGAUGGAAGCCCC
ensembl:lncRNA